AGGGGUCAGGGCAUAGAUAGUGGAUUGAGGUGGGGGUCAGGUAGGGGUCAGGGUCUAGAUAGUGGAUUGAAGUGGGGGUGGGUGUCAGGUAGGGGUCAUGGUCUAGAUAGUGGAUGGGGGUGGGGGUCAGGGUCUGGAUAGUGGAUUGAGGUGGGGGUCAGGUAGGGGUCAGGGUCUAGAUAGUGGAUUGAGGUGGGGGUCAGGGUCUAGAUAGUGGAUUGAAGUGGGGGUCAGGUGGGGGUCAGGGUCUAGAUAGUGGAUUGAAGUGGGGGACAGGGUCUAAAUAGUGGAUUGAAGUGGGGAUUUAGGGUGGGUGAGUCGAGGGGUGAGGGUUGAGGGUGGGUUGAGAGUCAGGGCGGAGGGUUUAGGGUGGGUGAGUCGAGGGGUGAGGGGUGGGUUGAGAGUCAGGGGGAGGGUUUAGGGUGGGUGAGUCGAGGGGUGAGGGUGGGUUGAGAGUC